rnacentral:tRNA from 1 species
GCUGGGAUAGCUCGGUCAGUAGAGUAUGGGACUUUUAAUCUCAGGGUUAUGGGUUCGAGCCCAACACUGAGCA